AUUAAGUCAGAGGUGAAAUCCUGCAGCUCAACUGUAGAAUUGCCUUUGAUACUGGUUAUCUUGAGUUAUUAUGAAGUAGUUAGAAUAUGUAGUGUAGCGGUGAAAUGCAUAGAUAUUACAUAGAAUACCAAUUGCGAAGGCAGAUUACUAAUAAUCWAYUGACACUGAUGGACGAAAGCGUGGGGAGCGAACAGGAUUAGAUACCCUGGUAGUCCACGCCGUAAACGAUGGAUACUAGCUGUURGGAUU
rnacentral:rRNA from 1 species